GCCUCCGUAGCUCAGUGGUAGAGCGACUCUCUUGUAAGGAGUAGGUCGGGGGUUCAAAUCCCUCCGGGGGCU
rnacentral:tRNA from 1 species